AGCAGCCGCGGUAAUUCCAGCUCCAAUAGCGUAUAUUAAAGUUGUUGCAGUUAAAAAGCUCGUAGUUGAACUUCGGGAUCAAUGGAUCGGUCAUGCCAUCGGUAUGUACUGGUCUCAUUGGUUCUCACCUUCUAAGGAACCUUAAUGUCAUUCAUUUGAUGUUUUGGGGAAUUAGGACUGUUACCUUGAAAAAAUUAGAGUGUUUAAAGCAGGCUAACGCUUGAAUACAUUAGCAUGGAAUAAUGAAAUAGGACAUCGCAUUCUAUUUUGUUGGUUUCUAGGAUCGAUGUAAUGAUUAAUAGGGAUAGUUGGGGGCAUUAGUAUUCAAUUGUCAGAGGUGAAAUUCUUGGAUUUUAUUGAAGACUAACUACUGCGAAAGCAUUUGCCAAGGAUGUUUUCAUUAAUCAAGAACGAAAGUUAGGGGAUCGAAGACGAUCAGAUACCGUCGUAGUCUUAACCAUAAACUAUGCCGACUAGGGAUCGGAUGAUGUUGUAUUUUUUUAAUGUACUU
rnacentral:rRNA from 1 species